GACGUAGGGCGCGAGCGUUGUCCGGAUUUAUUGGGCGUAAAGAGCUCGUAGGCGGCUUGUCGCGUCGUCCGUGAAAACCCACGGCUUAACUGUGGGCUUGCGGUCGAUACGGGCAGGCUGGAGUUCGGUAGGGGAGACUGGAAUUCCUGGUGUAGCGGUGAAGUGCGCAGAUAUCAGGAGGAACACCGGUGGCGAAGGCGGGUCUCUGGGCCGAUACUGACGCUGAGGAGCGAAAGCGUGGGGAGCGAACAGG
rnacentral:rRNA from 1 species